GAUGAAGAACGUAGCGAAAUGCGAUAAGUAAUGUGAAUUGCAGAAUUCAGUGAAUCAUCGAAUCUUUGAACGCACAUUGCGCCCCUUGGUAUUCCGAGGGGCAUGCCUGUUCGAGCGUCAUUUCACCACUCAAGCCUGGCUUGGUGUUGGGCGACGUCCCCUUUGGGGACGCGCCUCGAAACGCUCGGCGGCGUGGCACCGGCUUUAAGCGUAGCAGAAUCUUUCGCUUUGGAAGUCGGGGCCCCGUCUGCCGGAAGACCUACUCGCAAGGUUGACCUCGGAUCAGGCAGGGAUACCCGCUGAACUUAAGCAUAUCAAUAAGCGGAGGA
rnacentral:misc_RNA from 1 species